rnacentral:rRNA from 1 species
GACGUAGGGGGCCAGCGUUGUUCGGAAUCACUGGGUGUAAAGGGUGCGUAGGCGGUGCGGCAAGUCGGGAGUGAAAUCUCUGGGCUUAACCCAGAGGCUGCUUCCGAAACUGCUGUGCUUGAGUGUGGGAGAGGCGCGUGGAAUUGCAGGUGUAGCGGUGAAAUGCGUAGAUAUCAGGAGGAACACCAAUGGCGAAGGCAGCUCGCUGGGACGUGACUGACGCUGAGACGCGAAAGCGUGGGGAGCAAACAGG